AUUAUUGACUCAAGUCUUUCAUUUGAAGCUCAUCCAGAAAAUAUUACUAGGAUAGCCUUCUUUCAUCUCAGA